rnacentral:tRNA from 1 species
AAAGGACUCGAUAAAAUUGGGAAGAGGAAUCAUAAUCCUUGUGUCGGGGGUUCAAAUCCCUCCUCCGCUACCA